rnacentral:rRNA from 1 species
CAGCAGCCGCGGGAAUACGUAGGUGGCAAGCGUUGUCCGGAAUUAUUGGGCGUAAAGGGCUCGCAGGCGGUUUCUUAAGUCUGAUGUGAAAGCCCCCGGCUCAACCGGGGAGGGUCAUUGGAAACUGGGAAACUUGAGUGCAGAAGAGGAGAGUGGAAUUCCACGUGUAGCGGUGAAAUGCGUAGAGAUGUGUAGGAACACCAGUGGCGAAGGCGACUCUCUGGUCUGUAACUGACGCUGAGGAGCGAAAGCGUGGGGAGCGAACAGGAUUAGAUACCCCCGUAGUCCCUGUCUCUUAUAC